rnacentral:rRNA from 1 species
CCUACGGGUGGCAGCAGUGAGGAAUAUUGGUCAAUGGGCGCGAGCCUGAACCAGCCAAGUAGCGUGAAGGAUGACCGCCCUCUGGGUUGUAAACUUCUUUUAUAAAGGAAUAAAGUGAGGCACGUGUGCUUUAUUGCAUGUACUUUAUGAAUAAGGAUCGGCUAACUCCGUGCCAGCAGCCGCGGUAAUACGGAGGAUCCGAGCGUUAUCCGGAUUUAUUGGGUUUAAAGGGAGCGUAGAUGGGUUGUUAAGUCAGUUGUGAAAGUUUGCGGCUCAACCGUAAAAUUGCAAUUGAUACUGGCAGCCUUGAGUACAGUUGAGGUAGGCGGAAUUCGUGGUGUAGCAGUGAAAUGCUUAGAUAUCACGAAGAACCCCGAUUGCGAAGGCAGAUUACUAAACUGCGACUGACAUUGAUGCUCGAAAGUGUGGGUAUCAAACAGGAUUAGAUACCCCUGUAGUC